CGGGGGGCGCGGGGGGCGGCAGAGACCUCGGCCGCGGGGUUGAGACGGGGCCGGGGCCGUGCGGCGGCCGCAGGCGAGGCGGCGGUACCUGAAGCGAGCGAGCGGACGGCGGCGGGGCCGCUGUGGGGAAGGCGGGGUGCAGGGGCGUGCGAGCCUGUGCCUGCGCGGGGCCGGCGGUCCGGCGCAGCCUCGGCCGGCGGGAUGCACAUGCCGGUCAUCGCAUCCCUUCUAAGAUACGCUUGCGGGAGCAAGCGCUGCAGGAAAAGGGUAACACCCCAGCACGCCUAGAUAAUCUUGAGAAACAGAUGCUGCGCUUCAGAGAAAUGGCACAUGUGCUUUCCCCAGGAGCUUUAUUCCUAACGGGAUUGCAGCACCCAACUCCAGUUUGAGCUCAGUCUCAGGAGGUUCCAGCCUGUGGGAAGCUGACACUGACUACAGAUGUCGAAGUGCUCUGUCAGCAGAGGCUGGUGUUGGUCAGUGUAGACAAAUCCCUUGUCUGCCUGAGCUGACUGAGAUUGGUGAGAAUGUCCAUGGUCCAUUGCUACCACAGCUGGAACUGCUGAGAUCUCCAGUGCCUUGACUUGGAUACUACUGACCACUUUGAUCCUCACACCGUAACAUUCCAUGGACUUUCUGACAACAGGCUGAAGGCCACCCUUGAAAUUUUAUUGUCUUCUGAAGGAAAACGUCACUUGACUCAUAGCAUAUUCAGAACAUCAAAAAUUCACAAUACAGCCAUGACUUUCCCAGGGAGAGGUGAAUGUAGCAGAGCACAGUCACUUCCCAUCACCUGAGUGACUCCAAAGUCUGGUCCCUUCAGUUGCUGCUCUCUCUGUGAGGGUCCUUCUGUUUGCAGUGUUUUACUUCCUCACUAAGCAAGAGAGACAGCAGGACAACCCUUGGCAGAGCCCAGGGUGAUUUGCCUUCAGAUCCCUGUGACGUUCCUGCCACAGAUGAGCCGCCAGCUUUGUGAGCACUGCAGACUGCUGGGUCCUGCCUGCACACUGCUUUGAGAGCUUCUGGUAAAACUGCAGGUAUCACUUACAGUCUGUGAUAACCUGGGUGACUGGGGCUCUCUGCUCUUGGCCCCUGACCAGCCUCCGUUUUCCUCUGAGGAGCUCACUGAAGAUGCAUGACAGGGUGUGCCUUUCAGGAUGGCCUCCCAGCUGAAAUCUCCCGAACUGCCAUGUUCAAAAAGGUGUGAAAAUUGUGUUGGAGUUCAUCUGUAGCCCUUAACGUGUGUCUCUUCCAUAGUGUCCUGCUGUGCUUCUGGAGUGACCUUGUGCUCCAGGUGAAGAGGGACUUCUCUGUCAGGCUAGUUUCUGGUAGCCUGGUGAGCUGUUACUGUGAGUGUGACCUGUAAGUUUAAAUCCAGAGAUGAUUAUGCUAAUUUAAAUAUUUUCAGUUUGGCUGCACGUUUCUAAGUGUUCAUAUGCAAACUCUCAUUUCCAGUGACAGGCAGAGACUGCAUCACCUCUUUCCCUCAUUUGAUUAUGUGGCUCACUGCUGCUGCUAACAGAUUACCUUUUUAGCUAUUACCAAUUGCUCUUAGAUAUAAUUUAGUCUUGUUAGAUGUAGGAAGAGAAGAAAACAAAAUAUAGCAAUUUGUUAUCAGCUCGUAAUACUCUUGCCAUAUAAAACCUUUCUGAUUAUUAUUUUAAGUUAGUCAAUAAUGCCUUUUGAGGCUAUAAUGUAAGUGGAAAUGUGGCAUCCAGAGUAAUAUGAGACAGUACAUGUGCACAGUAGACUUGUCUCAUCUCUAAAACAUCACUGUAUCUCUACUGCAAGAAAAAUAAGUUAAUUUUCAUAGAAAUUCAAAUAAAAUCUCUGAUUCUUGUCAAGCUCUGAGCAUUUUAACGUGUUUGAAGUUCUCUUGGCACUGCUUCUGCCUUAAUGAAAGACACAGUUUUCUGCAAGAUAGGCAGAUAUGAAAGGUUGAUGCUCAUGGCUGUAUAUUUCCUUCCAAAUUAAGGUUAUGCAGCCUUCUGGAAGUAAACAGGUUUUGCAUGGAAUUAGAGGUUGUUUGUGUAAAUUUAUAAAGUUAUAUAACAAUUGACAGGCCUGUUAAACUAAGCUGAGAGUUGGUGUGAGCCAGCGUCAUUGGGAAAUAAACUCUGAGAUGGGAGCUUGGAUCACUGGGUAACAUGGUGGGUAAAGUAGGAUUUGACCUCUAGACAUAAAAGAAAAAAGGCAAAGCUUGAGUUCAUAGCAGAUUACUGGGAAAGCUUUUCAGACUUCAGGCAAAAAGCUGAUCUUAAAGCAGUUUUUAGGUUAUGAACAGCUUUGUCUGGGAUGAAGGUGAGAAGCUACACUGAGUAAAAACCAUGAUUUAUGCAAACCUACAAAGUAAUCCAAACUCCACCAUAAACCUACUUGUAAUUUCUGUCUGGCCUGGAAGAGAAAUGGGGCAAAACCCUGUCUGGGGAAAAUAAGUGGGGUGCAAAGGCUGGAGCUCGAGUUGGGGCUUGAAUUCACAGAGCUCCAAGGCAAAGGAGAGUGUCUGCAUGGGAAACAGAGAUGCUCUUCUGUCAGGUCUGUGGUGGGCUAGGAUAUCCCGCUGUGAAAGGGUGGAGGUUAGAUUGGGAUAUAUGUUCAGUCAAUGCUAAGGUGAUGACUUGUUUCAGACUGACUUAAGAAAUUUGGUUUUUGAGCCACCUUUUGCUCUGUGGCUUAACUGCAGGGCUGGAGAAAAGAUCAGUCUUAGUGUUGGGGUACAAGCUGGGAUUUGCCAUUGCCAGUGCCAGUAAAUGCUGCUGACAAGCUGGUUACACAGAGCUGGCCAGACUCUGUUGGGUGUCAGAGCUAGUUUAUGUUCCUGUGGUGUUUGUACAUGUGGAUCUGGAUGGUGUCACUAACUUAGGGAAAAAGCUAGGCUUGCACUUAGAAUCAGAGUGAGCUUGCUAAACUAAGUGUGGAAAAACUCAGAUGCCAGCCUUUUUUAACUUGUGUGGACUGUCUGUGCACAAAUACAUAAAUAAAAGUUAGAAAUUAUGGGUAUUUUUCAGGAGGCUGAAAAACUUCAGGUAAAAUGAUCUUCAAAUAUAAUUUUCUUCUUUGAAUUUGCUUGGAUCUUGGCAAAUAUAGCAGCAGCACAGAUGCUACCAAUGUGUACUGAGCACACUGACCUUUUUGCAAUUUCCCUGUGUGUCAAGCAUUGUAUCCUUCUGGGCCCUGGGGAAUCCCAGGAUGCUGGAAGCAAACCCAAGUAUAAAAAAAUCAAUGCUCUUGAUUCCAAAGAACAGCAAAGCACAUGAGUCAGUCACAGAGAUGUAAUCCCUUACUAUCCUUCUUGCCAUGCCCAGCCAUAAUUUCAUUGGAAAUCAAUUUUAAGUGCUAUCCUAGAUGGGGCUUCUUCUAUGUUUUUCACAAGUCCUUUGAUAUUUUUUUUUUUCAUGAAAGCUUUAAAAAAAAGAACAAAGUUGAUGGCUGAGUAGUGGUAGCUGAUGAGUUAAUUGAAUGCCUGGCUUUGAGAGGAAGCAAAAAAGUGUAGAUAACUAUUACCUGGUCACUGGAGAAACUGUCCAGCCUGCUUGCAUCUGGUGGUGGAGCUGCACACCUCUGGGCAAUAGCUGUUUCUCACAGUGUUAUCUAAAUAAAAUAAGUAAAAUAAAGGACAAUGUAAAAUUCUGUUGUACAUUACAUGUGUUCUAUAAGCACAAAUUUUGGUAGACUUGGGUCUGAAAAGCACCACUCUACAUGGCAAAGGAAGGUCUCAUGGCUGAAUCAGAGACCUGGAAGUCAAAAAGUCUAGGUUUUCAUCUUUACUGCAGGCUUCCUCAGGAACUUUGGACAACUUGUUAUGUUUGUGUCUCAAUGUUCCAAAUGACAGAAUAAAAAAAAUUUACACUUUGACAUAAAUGUACAGUUUUUUGUAAAGAGAAUCUCAGAAUAAAGAGCUUUUUCUGGGUCGCUAACAUGUUGCAUCCAUCUGGGCUUGUGGGCUGUGACGUGGGAUAGUUCUCUUUCUUACCUGAAAACAGGUCGUUUUCCCUACUUUUGCUCUGAUGUUGUGCUUAGACACAAAGAAAAAGCAUCCAAACCUACAUGCAUAAUCUGCAGCAGUUUAUGUUGGACUGUAAUUUUGCUUUGUUAAAAUCUGUUAGCUAGAUUUCAUCAUGUUCUU